AUGGUGGUGGCCACGGAGGAAAUGGCGGUCUACUGCUUCGACACCCUCGUCGCCCACUACAGCGGCGAGCAGCCGCCGCCGCCCGCCUUCGAGGAGGGCGUCCACCCACUGUUUGUCACCUGGAAGAAGGCUACCAAUGGUUCCGAGCCACGCCUAAGGGGAUGCAUUGGAACUUUGGAGCCCCGUCAGAUUGUAAGUGGCUUCAAGGAUUAUGCGCUGACAAGUGCCCUGAGGGAUCGGCGCUUUUCUCCGAUACAGUCCAAAGAGCUGCCAUAUUUGGAAUGCACAGUUUCUAUAUUGACUGAAUACGAAACUGCACUCAACCACCUUGAUUGGGAGGUUGGAAAGCAUGGUUUAAUUAUUGAGUUCACCGAUCCUGACUAUAAUGUAAGACGGAGUGGAACUUAUUUACCUGAGGUUGCUGCCCAUGAAGGAUGGACACAACUAGAGACCAUUGACUCGCUCAUGAGGAAGGCUGGCUACAAUGGCACCAUCACUGAGUCUUUGAGGAAGAAAAUCCGCGUCACCCGCUACCAGAGUACCCUGUACACCAUGCACUAUGGUGAAUAUACUGCAUAUGUCAAGAAGAACAGAGGUGAAAUUAACGGGGAACCCAUAGUUAAUGGAUUCAAACCAGGCCAGUGA
rnacentral:rRNA from 1 species